UGUAAGCGGCGUGGAAGCGAGAAACGGGCGAACACUCUGGUAAACUCGGAAACGCUUUGUCCGGUAUCUGAGUCUGUCUGGCGUCGUUUUCACGCUGGCUUGAACGUACUUUUCGCGUAAACCGCUUACGGGCAAAUCGUAAACGCAGUGAAAACGGUUGAUCCAAGGUAGAAAUAGGGAAAAGGAAAUCGGGAAGCGUCGAGCUAACCUCCGUCUCUCUGUCCCUCUCUUUCUACAUCUGUUACGUACGUGGCGCCACCUGUAUCUCGUCGAAGUUCGUCAUCGACGAGCUCGCAAUAACCGCUCGACAAAUAUUUAACCUGAGCUGGAUCCUCGCGUGGGAAACAUGGGUGUACCGCGUAAUGCGGUUUCGGUGUCACAAUAUUGUCAGUCGGGAAUACCGGUGAAAUGAUACAGGCCGACAGUGAUUUUUCCUAUUUCAAAGGUGUUCGAUACUCGAAACGUUUCAAUCCCUGCAAAUACCAUUGUGUUAUAUUCGUACGAGUUAAUCGGUACAGUUCGAAGAACCGAACGUGUCACCAAGUUAUUUGUCAAACACAAUGGAAUAUGCGGAUUCAUUCUCUUUCCGUCUGCUCGUUUUGUUCGUUACUGUUUCAUAUACGUACAUUAGGGGUAUACGAAAUAUACAUGGUUAAAAGUAACAUUAUAAAUAAAGUGGAUGCCAAAAGUAAAUGAACAUUUUGCGGUGUAGCAAAAAACCAUUUGAAAGAAGUUUUUAAAGUGAAUUAAGAUUUUUAUUAUUAAUGUAGAGGAAAGAUAUUAAAAGUGUUUGGAAAUUCUGGUUCUUGAAAUUAUCGAUGUUCAACCAUUUUCGUUACCAAAAGGCAAACGGUUUGCUUCAAUGGUGCGUUUUAGUCUUCACUCAAUAAUUUUAAGCGUAUUUUACUUGCAAAUAAUGGAUUCGCUAAAGAAAUAUUAACUAUUCGUUUAUCUACUCGAACAUUAGUCACUUUUGGACGUCCUGACUGGUGCAACUGAAUUUCGAGCAUCAGUUUUAAACGCUGCAACUAUUUUAAACAUGACUGACGGUGUUUUGUUAAAAGAGCUAGCAAUUUGUCGGAAGACGAACGAAAUCAAGAGGAAAGUACAGCGAUUCUCAUUAUCGGUAUCUCGAUAAGUGUGGCAAACGAGUACCAUUUCUCUCUGGCCGAUUGCGCGUAUAAUUUACAGAAAGAAAAAAAGGUAGAGAUGUAAGGGACACGAAGGGAAUAGCAAAGAAAGGAAGGAAAUUCGAAAGGACGAUUGAGAAAAGUAAAGAAAGAAAGCGGAAAUGGAACGGAGGCGGACGAGGAAGAACAAGAAGAAGACUCGUUGAUAAGGAUAGGAUCGUUCGCAUGGGAAUCACGCGAGUGUGUCUACCUUCAUCCUUUCGACUAGCUUGAUAACGAGAGAACUAUCCGACGGCGGCUUGAUAAAACGCUCUCGGGGUGAGCUCUGCUUUUACCUCUUAGAAAUGCCAAUGCUUCGAGCCAAAGGAUAUCUCGCCAUUAAAUCCGAGUGCAGUUUUACGCGAAAUCGUGCUCUUCUGACAGCGAAUCGCCCUUUCUCGAUGAAACAACGACGCGACGUUUCCUUUAAGUACUGGCCUGGUCCUAUGUAGGAGAAUCAAAAUUAAACAGAUUGAUAUAUUAUUGGUAGGUAGGUAUAACAAUUUUUUAUUUCAGAUAUGAUCAGGUGAAGAGAAACUGAAAUAAAUCUGAAAUUUACCACAUGUCUCUGUUAUAGUUAAUGUAUAUGUAAUCUCAUCAAAAUGUUUAAAAUCGAAAAUUUUCGACUA